GACGAACGCUGGCGGCGUGCUUAACACAUGCAAGUCGAACGGAAAGGCCCUGCUUUUGUGGGGUGCUCGAGUGGCGAACGGGUGAGUAACACGUGAGUAACCUGCCCUUGACUUUGGGAUAACUUCAGGAAACUGGGGCUAAUACCGGAUAGGAGCUCCUGCUGCAUGGUGGGGGUUGGAAAGUUUCGGCGGUUGGGGAUGGACUCGCGGCUUAUCAGCUUGUUGGUGGGGUAGUGGCUUACCAAGGCUUUGACGGGUAGCCGGCCUGGGAGGGUGACCGGCCCCAUUGGGACUGAGAUACCGCCCUGACUCCUACGGGAAGCAGCAGUGGGGAAUAUUGCACAAUCGGCGGACGCCUGAUGCAGCAACGCCGCGUGCGGGAUGACGGCCUUCGGGUUGUAAACCGCUUUCGCCUGUAACGAAGCGUGAGUGACGGUGAUGGGUAGAGAAGCGCCGGCUAACUACGUG
rnacentral:rRNA from 1 species